rnacentral:rRNA from 1 species
AUGCAGAACAAAAUAUGGGCUGUCUACGAGGCUAUCACGUGCACCCGGAGAAGCGACGUUGUUCAGCACCAGCAACAGCAGUCGUAUCCCUCCAUGCACCAACAUCAACCACGUCCACGUCUAGCACAUCAGCCGACGACCAGGCCAGCCCCUCUUGAACAACCUGGCAGUUCAACGUGGCAGCACCCACAGCACUAUGGUCCCACAUCGAGCUUCGUGUUUUCUUCACAGCCACAGCAACACAGUCCCUCGUCGAGCUUUGUGUUUGAGCUAGAGCAUUGA